rnacentral:tRNA from 1 species
GAUUCGGUAGCUUAGGUGGUAAAGCACUCGUCUAGCAUUUAGGAGUCGUGGGUUCGAAUCCCACCAGAGUAC